AGUCGAACGAUGAAGCCGGAGCUUGCUCUGGUGGAUUAGUGGCGAACGGGUGAGUAACACGUGAGUAACCUGCCCCUGACUCUGGGAUAAGCGCUGGAAACGGCGUCUAAUACCGGAUAUGCGCUGUAACCGCAUGGUUUGCAGCGGGAAAGAUUUAUCGGUUGGGGAUGGACUCGCGGCCUAUCAGCUUGUUGGUGAGGUAAUGGCUCACCAAGGCGUCGACGGGUAGCCGGCCUGAGAGGGUGACCGGCCACACUGGGACUGAGACACGGCCCAGACUCCUACGGGAGGCAGCAGUGGGGAAUAUUGCACAAUGGGCGCAAGCCUGAUGCAGCAACGCCGCGUGAGGGAUGACGGCCUUCGGGUUGUAAACCUCUUUUAGCAGGGAAGAAGCCUUCGGGUGACGGUACCUGCAGAAAAAGCGCCGGCUAACUACGUGCCAGCAGCCGCGGUAAUACGUAGGGCGCAAGCGUUAUCCGGAAUUAUUGGGCGUAAAGAGCUCGUAGGCGGUUUGUCACGUCUGCUGUGAAAACUGGAGGCUCAACCUCCAGCCUGCAGUGGGUACGGGCAGACUAGAGUGCGGUAGGGGAGAUUGGAAUUCCUGGUGUAGCGGUGGAAUGCGCAGAUAUCAGGAGGAACACCGAUGGCGAAGGCAGAUCUCUGGGCCGUUACUGACGCUGAGGAGCGAAAGGGUGGGGAGCAAACAGGCUUAGAUACCCUGGUAGUCCACCCCGUAAACGUUGGGAACUAGUUGUGGGGGCUUUUCUACGGUCUCCGUGACGCAGCUAACGCAUUAAGUUCCCCGCCUGGGGAGUACGGCCGCAAGGCUAAAACUCAAAGGAAUUGACGGGG
rnacentral:rRNA from 1 species